UACGAAGGGGGCUAGCGUUGCUCGGAAUUACUGGGCGUAAAGGGAGCGUAGGCGGACAUUUAAGUCAGGGGUGAAAUCCCGGAGCUCAACUCCGGAACUGCCUUUGAUACUGGGUGUCUUGAGUGUGAGAGAGGUAUGUGGAACUCCGAGUGUAGAGGUGAAAUUCGUAGAUAUUCGGAAGAACACCAGUGGCGAAGGCGACAUACUGGCUCAUUACUGACGCUGAGGCUCGAAAGCGUGGGUAGCAAACAGG
rnacentral:rRNA from 1 species